UUUGCCGUUGCAAACAUGUUCAAUCCAUAACGAGCUGAAUCCAGAACGAUGAGCUAAUCAUAUCUACAAAACAAGAUAGGUCGAGUUCAUACCAACUUUUCUCCAUCUCAGUCACUUCAUCAUAUAUCGUCAUUAUUGCCUUUCACUUGGACGACCAAACGAUGUGAAAAAUAAGAGUGCACGUGCAUUGGACUAAGCCAGAAUCUGCAAGCAAUAACUCAAAGGAGAAGACAAGGUAAUAUGGACUCUCUGAUAGAUAAACGAUAAUAAAUAUGAGAGCCACUCAACAUGUCAUCGUGGUCUUCUCC
rnacentral:lncRNA from 1 species